UACGGGGGGGGCAAGCGUUGUUCGGAAUUACUGGGCGUAAAGGGUGCGUAGGUGGCGAGGCAAGUCAGAUGUGAAAUCCCGGGGCUCAACCCCGGAACUGCAUUUGAAACUGCCUUGCUCGAGUACUGGAGAGGAGACUGGAAUUUACGGUGUAGCAGUGAAAUGCGUAGAUAUCGUAAGGAAGACCAGUGGCGAAGGCGAGUCUCUGGACAGUUACUGACACUGAGGCACGAAGGCCAGGGGAGCAAACGGG
rnacentral:rRNA from 1 species